CGGCCAUUUUUUUAAAAAUGCUAGUGUUAGAUGCAUUUGUUCUCUUUGUUUAUCAUUUGUUAUAUUUUAGUUUUUUUUUAUCUUCCAAUUUUAUUUUACAUUUAUUUUUUUACAUUCCAUCUCUUUUGAUUUUCUUACUGUAUUACUAUUUUACAUUUGUUGUCCUAUUCUAUUUUAUAGAUAUUUUUUGUUUUUGUUAUUUUUGGAAUGUAUUUACAUACUUCUUAACUGAGACUGUUUCUCUUUGUAUUUCAUUUAUUGUUUCAUUUACUUACAUUACAUUAUUUACGAGCGAAUACAUGAUGUUUUUGUUCUGGUUUUGUUUUUUUCUUUCCCUUUGUUCUUUUUUUUAAACGCAAACUGAAAUAUCUACAUAGCCCAUAUUGCUGGUGUUUUGUGGUAAUAACACUCUACAAAUUUAUCGUCAAGAUUUUUCGGAUAAACAAAUCAAUCUUUAAUUCACAAAAAAUCUACCACGCUUAUAUAUAUCUAAGAUUUGAGAUGUGGUAUGAGUGCCAAGGAGACAACUCUCAAUCCAGAUUACAAUUUGUAAAAGUAAACAAUUAUAUACCGAAGUACGCUCUUCCACAUUGAACA
rnacentral:lncRNA from 1 species